UACAGAGGUCUCAACCGUUGUUCGGAUUCAUUGGGCGUAAAGGGUGCGUAGGCGGCGGGGUAAGUCAGGUGUGAAAUCUCGGGGCUCAACCCCGAAACUGCACUUGAUACUGCCUCGCUUGAGUACUGGAGAGGAGACUGGAAUUUACGGUGUAGCAGUGAAAUGCGUAGAUAUCGUAAGGAAGACCAGUGGCGAAGGCGAGUCUCUGGACAGUAACUGACGCUGAGGCACGAAGGCCAGGGGAGCAAACGGG
rnacentral:rRNA from 1 species